GAUGAAGAACGUAGCGAAAUGCGAUAAGUAAUGUGAAUUGCAGAAUUCAGUGAAUCAUCGAAUCUUUGAACGCACAUUGCGCCCGCCAGUAUUCUGGCGGGCAUGCCUGUUCGAGCGUCAUUACAACCCUCAGGCCCCCGGGCCUGGCGUUGGGGAUCGGCGGAGCCCCCCGUGGGCACACGCCGUCCCCCAAAUGCAGUGGCGGUCCCGCCGCAGCUUCCAUCGCGUAGUAGCUAACACCUCGCGACUGGAGAGCGGCGCGGCCACGCCGUAAAACACCCAACUCUUCUGAAGUUGACCUCGAAUCAGGUAGGAAUACCCGCUGAACUUAAGCAUAUCAAUAGCGGAGGA
rnacentral:misc_RNA from 1 species